UGCUUUAUAUCGAAAAAAAAAGACAAGAUGCUGCAGUUUUUCAGAUGCCAUAAGAUAUACAUGUUUGCAGUUCUUGAGUGCACAUAAUUUGCUUUAUAUCGAAAAAAAAAAAGACAAAGAUGCUUCAGUUUUUCAGAUGCCAUAAGAUAUACAUGUUUGCAGUUCUUGAGUGCACAUCAAAAACGUUAAACAACCAGUAGAUAUGUAUGGGCAGCUAAAAUGAACUAGACAUGCCCUCCAAUGAUACUGUUCUUAUUGGUUAUUGCAUCCAUGGUAAUCCUGCCCAUUAUUCCAUCCUGCCAGUCCUUUUUUUCUUCUGACAAACAGGAGAAAAUGCGAAUCAGUAAUUAUUGGUCUUAAAAGAUGUGCAUGCAUUGGCUUUCUGUGCUGGUUUAGUGUAAAUCUCUGCCGGAUAAUUGUAUGCAUCGACUGAUAGAGAUGGAAUACAUACAUUAUGAUAGCAAACUAGGUAUUCUUACAAGAGAUUCUUCUUGCUUCUACCAUGCAGAGCUGCCCAUUGUUAUAUCUUGACUAGCCUUCCAUAUUUUUUAUCAGAUAUUCCUUAACUUUGUAUCUCUUGCAUUCCUUGAACAUAACAUCACUUUCUGUUAAGAGCGUUAAAAUGUGAAGCCCAGCAAAUGGACUCUGUAAACAUUUGAAUCAUGAAAUCCAGUUUAACUUUUUACAAUUAUGCCGGUCACGUCAAAGAGGUGUGCGUUGUUUGAACAAGCAAGAUAAUGAUGUUAAAUUCCAACUUAGGAUAGUUGCUCUAUUAUUUGGCAGUUUGAGAUGUUUCUUGAGUUUGACUCUUAUCCUUGUUUUACCAGACCGAGGUUAAUUUUUUAGGACAGCUCAGGCAUCCUAAUCUAGUGAAGUUGAUUGGAUAUUGCUGCGAGGAUGAUCACAGGCUGCUUGUCUAUGAGUUUAUGUUCCGAGGGAGCCUUGAGAAUCACUUAUUUCGAAGUACAUAACUCCACAUUCUCCUUUUUAGAGAAGUUUUUAUUUCUUGUUGCUUGAUAAACUUAUAAUGCAGUUGUUUCUUCAAGAUCUUUUUGAAUCCUCUGCUGCUUCUUUAUGAUGUCUCCAUGACUUUCAGUUCCAUUGUAAGGUUGACAUAUAUGCAUGAAAAAGGAAAAGGAUGUAGUUUUCUUCAAGAUUGAGCAUUUAAAGAACUAGUUCCUUGCAGAUAGUUGAGACACUCUAAAAUUAUAUCACAUUUUGCAACACCUGUCUAUAAUCCUUAAAUUGUGUAUGUAGGUUUCAUUUGGAAAUUACCUCGUGAUAGGAGAGGAUACUGCAAAUGAUCAAUAAUCCUUCCAUCUGUGUGCACAAGCUUCUUUUGGAAACUACCCUCUGACAAGAGAGGGUACUGCAAAUUAUCCAUAAUCCUUUUAAUUAUCCAUCUAGGUUUCAUUUGGAGAACGUUAUGAAAUUGUGUGUGGAAGUUGUUCUGAGUUGACUAUCGAGAAAAACACUAAUUUUUAAUGAACUCUUUAACCAGAUAGGCUAAUGCACCAGUAGUGUUGAAUAAUAUUUGUGCUUUGGCUUAUUAUUGCAUACAUGAUUUGUGCUUUAUCAUUAAUUUUCAAGGUGCUCUUCUGUUUACUUAUGAAUGAGCUGUUGGAGCUUGCAGUUGACUUUGCCUUGAGCUGAUUAACUUUAUAAGGUAGCUUCUCAUGAAACUAUCUAAGAUGGCUUUUUGUACAGCAAUGCCUCUAUCUUUCGUCAAAUCGUGAAAAAUGUUAUUUAAUGUUAACUGCUAAAUGAAUUAAAAACUUUUACAAUAGGCAUUAAUCCCUUUUCUUUUAGGGUUCGUAUGGUUGAUCCCGUUGAUUUAUUUCUCCUCAAUUACUUCAAUUCAGAUUUUCUUACCGCCACAGAGGAAAGGAAAUUUUUUUAAGAAAACUGAUGUGGGUUUUAUUGCUAAUUGAUCGAGACCAUUCUAUUUUUGGAUGGUGGUAUGCAUAUGAGCAUGUUAACUUUCCUGCCAAAUUCCAAGAGCAAGGAUGUGACACUAUCAAUUAUGGGUGUAUAUGGCAAUGGUGCCAUAUAUAUUGAGCACAAACCAGACCAUGAAGUUGGCCGGUAUAUAAAAUGGUGUAACAGCAUUUAAAAACUUCAAUAAGGUGAUGAAGAACAAGCUAAUCAGAAGCAGGGCCUAAAAUUCAAAUCAAACUAUAAAAAUAAAAGCGAAGCUAAGGUCAUCUUGAGAUGUAUUGAGAGACCAGACUAAGCAAUAAAGUCAGGAAGGUAAAGGAGGUGCCCCAAAUGAUGUCAACAAUGGGAUGAAAGGAUUCUAUAAAGGAGCUCGCUGAAGUGGAAUAGACAAACAUAAAUGCAAGAUGAAAUUAUAUUAAUAACAUGCAUGGGAAUACCUUGUCAAUUUAGGGCCUUUUGGAUGCCGGUCUUCUGGCGGAGCAUCACGUUUGAAAUUAUGAUAGAAAUUUGGUAAUUGAAGGUGAUUAGGGAGGCUGGAGGAGAAACUAAUUCCUAUAUUUCAUGAAUUAGAUAAAUCAUCUUAUACACAUGGUUAGUUAUCCCAAAGAAAUAGGGGUUACUUAGCAGCCACGGCAGCCCCAAACUUGUUUUGGCACAGUUCCAGUUGUGUUUUCUGAAAAAGAAAGGCCUUGUUGGAAGACAUCGAAAUAAGCCCUUAAAGAGGCU
rnacentral:lncRNA from 1 species